rnacentral:rRNA from 1 species
GUGGGGAAUAUUGGACAAUGGGUGCAAGCCUGAUCCAGCCAUGCCGCGUGAGUGAUGAAGGCCUUAGGGUUGUAAAGCUCUUUCGCCGACGAAGAUAAUGACGGUAGUCGGAGAAGAAGCCCCGGCUAACUUCGUGCCAGCAGCCGCGGUAAUACGAAGGGGGCUAGCGUUGUUCGGAAUCACUGGGCGUAAAGCGCACGUAGGCGGACAUUUAAGUCAGGGGUGAAAGCCUGGAGCUCAACUCCAGAACUGCCCUUGAUACUGGGUGUCUCGAGUCCGGAAGAGGUAAGUGGAACUGCGAGUGUAGAGGUGAAAUUCGUAGAUAUUCGCAAGAACACCAGUGGCGAAGGCGGCUUACUGGUCCGGUACUGACGCUGAGGUGCGAAAGCGUGGGGAGCAAACAGGAUUAGAUACCCCUGUAGUCC